CAUAUAGAUGCUGUAUCAUAUAGAUAGGAUAGAUAGGUUUUCCUUUUUUUGCACUUGCUUUCAAAUAGGACAAAUGUCAGUGUCUUUAGUUUAACGCCUUGUGCAGAUUCUACUUAUUUUAUUUGCUAGUCAAAAAUUGAGAGCGUAUGGCGUCGAGCAGAUCAUAUACAAAAGAAGAGUUAAACGUUUUGAAUACUUCGGUGUAAGAGACCUUGACAUGGAAUCUACUGUCAUAAUCACUUCCUUUCUUAAGUUUUUACAUUCAUUAGGGUUAACCGUAAAAACAUGUUUUACAAAGAGCAUGCGUUAGAGGCACUAUGGACAGCGUUUUGGAUCUGAGGCGAUAUUUUCAAGCUGGUUGUUUAUUCCAACGUGUAAAUAGAUGUUGCUGAUAUCGCCCUGCAUGUGGCACACGGGAAACUGGCGAGUGAAAAUGACACACAAUUGAUCCACUAAGACGUUUUAUUUUUUCACAAAGUAUGUUUAAACAAUACAUGUGGAAGCUAUGAAAUUCCAAGAAAGUCUCUAUCUUUCUCUCUCUCUCUCUCUCUCACAGUGCAUGCUGGAAGUCUGUGGUGAGUGAGUGUAAGCGGGAGUGUCUGAGUUUGUGUACGGUUUUGCUGUGCAUGAAAUCUAUAUUUUCUCUUUGUUUCUUUGUUGUGUUUGUUUAUCGUUAAAGUAUUUGUUGUUUAUUUAGUUGUUUUGUUUUCGGGCCAUAUGAUUCUUUGCCUAGGAUAAAUGGGUUUAAGAUUGUCACAGGAGCAGGUGUCAGUAGAGGACUGUGCUUUGGCCAUAGGAAAGGAGGUAUGUUACGAGAAUAUCAUCUCUGCCUCGAGAAUGAACAAGAGUAUUGUGAUGUUUUCAAAGACUGAAGCUCUUGUUAAUGAUAUUGUGGAGACAGGGAUUACUGUGAAA